CCUAAAGCUCUUUCUUUACUAAAGCUUAACUCCAAUCACUAAAAUUAAUAAAACUCAGGAGUUAAAAGAAUGGGUUCGAAGAAAAACUUAGCUUUUACAUUGAAUGACUAUUAUAUAAAGAUGUUAUAAAGAGGUCUAACUGUAGUAGAACCUAUGCAACGCGAAUUAGAUUUAAUUGGAUUUGGUUUCAGAUAACAAGUGGCUAAAGAAAAAUACAAUACAAUACGGUACAAUAUUAUACGGUCGAAAAACUACGAGACAAGAGGUACAUGUUGACCCAAGACUUAUUGCAAGUUGCAACAAUAGGAACUACUAACAAAACAAAACACAAACUAAGAGAAAUUAACUAGAGGAAAGUGAAUAGAAUUAUAUUAGGCUAUUCAUAACUUUCCCUUUAUUCUCAAAACUAAACUCACACCAGCACAAGUACAUAGUCUCUGAGGCCUAAUUUUGGUCAUGACAUUUAGGACAUUUACUGCAAAUCUGAUUCUUACAUGAGCAAAUUUUACAAAAUUUGCCGACGAUUAUUUGGGCAUGACAUUUAGGACAUUUGCUGCAAAUCUGAUAUUUACAUGAGCAAAUUUUACAAGCUUUGCCGGCGAUUUUGCGGAUGAUUCCGGCACCCGUCUUCUGAUCAGUAAUGUUGUUUGAAUUCAUUUCUGCAUCAAAUUAGGUUAUGUAGAGUAAUGUAUUAGUUAUAGGUUAACCAAUAAAGGAGGAAAUUAAUUUGUGACCAUAUUAAUUCUCAGUGCUGCAAACAUAAAUAAAUUAGGAUGAACGUAGGUUCCUCCUCUAAUAACUUAAGUUUUAAAUAAAAUGAUCACACAUUUGGCAGGACAGGUCGCUACUUCAAAUGAAGUGUCCUUGCUCUAGCAAUAGAAUUUAAACUAUUAUAAAAAGUAAUCACCAAAUUCAAUAAAGAUAAAAAGAAAAACUUUUGCGGUGUUGCGAUAUCCUUAGAUUACUAAAUAUUAUACAGGUAGAAGGUCUCAGAAAGUUUCAAAACGACAUUAAACUUUCAGCAAAAUGUUAAAUAAUACUUAUGUAAACAUCUACUCACUUCGUUUCAAUCAUGUGUUUUACUUUCCUUUUAAAUCACUCCAGCAAAGAAUGCUACCAACGUUUAAUAAUUAUUUAAUUCCGAAAUUCCAAUUUUUUCAUUAAUGAGAUUUCUUUAUAAGAUAUUAUGACAUAUUUAAUAUCACAAAAUUCUAAGCCAAAUGUUACAUGAAUAUUUAAACAUUUAUAACAUCCGUUCGCAGACUCAAAAUGUUAAAAAUGAAAAUAACUUCUGGAGUAGUAAUAGAUAGAAGAAGUAAAUAAACCUUGGGUAAUUGGAGCAGCUGCCUUAGACGUCUCCCUUGCAUC
rnacentral:lncRNA from 1 species